GUUUUAACAAUGCAUUGGGUGCUUUUUUCGAAACGUUUUAUUCUCAAUGCGAAAGGAUAAUCAUCACAUGGAGUACAUGUGAGCUGGAAGUCGGGGUUCAAGCUCUGCAACAAGAGGGAUUUGCUUAGGAGUGGAAAGGCCAAAAAUCUCCUGCAUGUUCAACUCCUCCGUUGUCAUAUCUCCAGGCAACUUCCAUUUAAACCCGUGCAGAAGAUUUGCCACACUUGCUUGAAUCACCUUCAGUCCUAGACUGUACCCAACACACAUCCUCCUCCCUGCUCCGAACGGCAACAGCUCAAAAUUGUGACCCUUGACAUCAAUGGCCUUGCCGAUGAACCUCUCCGGGCAAAAUUCGUGUGGCUUCUCCCAUAUGCUUGCAUCCCUCCCAAUGGUCCAUACAUUUACCAUGACUCGGGUGCCUUUGGGAAUGUCAUAGCCACCAAGUUGGAUGUCUUCCCGAGCAAGUCUCGGCACUAGGAAGGGUGACACGGGAUGCAAACGCAUCGUCUCCUUGCAAAUUGCGUUGAUAAAUGGUAAGUUAACAAUGUCUUUCUCUUCAAUCCACCUAUCUCUCCCAAUCACUCGAUCUAGCUCUUCGUUUGCCCUCUUGAAAUACUCUGGCUUUUUCAAGAGCUCCGCCAUGGCCCAUUCUGUUGUCACCGCAGAACUCUCAGUCCCACCUGCGAUCAAAUCCUGCCGAAAAGGAAGUGGUAAAAAAUAUUCACGAAUUCGUAGCAUUUAAACUAAUUUGAGCAAUUCGGAACUGUUCACAUGUUGAUUGAAAUUAACAGAGCAUACCAUUGUAAAUGCCUUGACUGCAGUCCUGUCGAGCUGGACUUCAAGAUUAGGAUCAUCAGAGAGCUGCAACAGGAUAUCCAUCAUGUCCUGAGGCACGUAGUCCUUGACUCCUUUUCUCCUCUGCUGAUGCUCAUUCAAUGUAUGCUCAAGAAACCCAUCAAACAACUGGCCGACGGCCUUCAUUCUCUUAAUAUAGCCUUGCAAAUCCAAGAAGGCGAGCCACGGAAUCGAGUCUCCGAUAUCUAACACCCCGUUAAGCAAGAAAAGCUCAUCAAUCAUUUCCUUGAACUCCUUUGGCGACAUGUACUGCUUUUGGGUUUUAGCUGUGUAGUUCUUUCCCAACACCAGGCGACUAAUCACACUAAGACUCAAAUCUGAAAAAUUAUCUCUUGCAUUGAUGGGCUUGCCAGAUGACACGAAUAGCUUUCUUAGGAGAGCAUGCAACUCCUGUACGCGGACAGUCUCAAAUUGGUCUAGACGUUUGGGACUAAAAAUUUCCAUGAGGCAAAUCUUACGUGCUUGUCGCCAAUACGGUCCGUAUUGUGACCACGUAAUGUUUGAGUAGUUAUACGUGGUGUAUUUUCCUGCAGCAAUUUUGGGACGAUCAGCCAGUUUGACGUCAUUGGUUUUGAGAACUGCUUCCGCCAUUUCUACAGAAGAGCCCACAACAACCGGAAAUGAACCGAACUUGAGCUGCAUAAUUGGCCCGUACUUCUGGACAAGGGCGUGCAUGUUUCUGUGUGGGAGCGGCCCUGCAAGGAGGUUCAAGUUUCCAAUUAUAGGCCACGGUUUGGGGCCUGGUGGCAGGUUGAGUUUGGGACGGGUAAGGUGGCGGAAGAGGGUUAUCACGGCAACGGUAGCAAGCAAAAGGGCAGCAAAAGUAGAGAGCUCCAUUUUGACAGUGGUAAGGGUGAUUGGUGUGGAAGCUGUGAUCCAAGCAGAAGCGGUGACGAGUCUAUUUAUAGGACACACCUUCUGUAUUAUUGGCAUAUGCGCGCUGGGAAUUAAUGAUUUGAAUUAUUGGUAAGAAAUACAAAUGUUAACACAGCUAACAGUCAAUUGUCUCUCUUGCUCUCAUUCACCCGUCAGCUAAAUUCAACUUACUUUUUUUCUUUUAUUUUUUAAAGUUAUAGGCUGGUUACUGUGGCGGGGAAGAAAAUAUGGUUCUGUUGGUGGGUCUGUGUGAUCAAUCUUUUUCUUUGUAGGUUACUGAAGGUUAGUUCCCUGAUGCCCUGUAUUCUGUAGGUUACUGAAGCUUGAGGGACAUUUAUACGCAUCGUCUCACGUAAUCUUUUUUCUUUUGUUAAUUCCAAUUCGAUCCUUAUGUUACCAUGUUUUAUACAUUCACUCAUUUGACUCCUAAUUUUUUUUUUUUUACAUUUUGAUCCUUAUAUUUUCAUUAUCCAUUUCAAUCUAUAAUUUAUUAUUUUACCGGUCAUGUGUGGGUUUUCAUGGCCGCAUGUGUGGGCUAGGCACUCUCCAUAAAUGGCUUAACAGCAAUCCUUUUGUGCUAGAGAACAACCAAAAAGGGUAGAAUUUGUGGUACAAUUUAUCUCUUACCUUUGUUUGUGGUCUACCCAUUAGUAGGAGCAAAUGGUUUACUAGAGAUGAGGCUACAUCAGUAUAAUUUGUUUCUUUAAUAAUUUUAUUUUCUUAUUUUUUUCUCUUAUAAUUUGAUUUUAGGUUUUUUAUUUUAUAUGUGAGAAGAAAGUAUUUUCCAUUCAAAAAUUAUAGAUUGGAUUGGAGCCAAAUUUUGUAAUUUUUUAAAUAAAAAAGCUCUCUUGGUGUAAUUGAGUAGAACAUGGAUACUCUCCAAAACCUAAUAUCAUCAUGAUUCCAUUCUUGUUUUGUUAAGUCAAAAUAUUUAGAAAAAAACUUUAACAACAAUUUUAAUCUGACCUUCUAUGAAUUAAAAAAAAGUAGUAGUUAAUUAAAUAUGCAACUAAUCACAACGUAUAUAUUGUAAAUAAAAAAAAAUAGAAAAACUUGAAUUAUUUUAAUAUGUUGAAAAUAAAUAAAAUGAUGUAAUAUCUAUCAUUAAAUAUUAAUCUAUAUUACCCCUAAAUCUCAAUAAGUAAGAAUAGAAAAUUGACAUGGUAAGGAACUAGUCUACUUCCCUUUAAAUGAUGAAUUCCAUGAUAUUAGAAAUUGAAGGGAUUUACUUGUCUAUGUCUUCUUUAAUUCAAUCUUUUAGAUCCCAUACUCGACUCGACCUUGACGGUUAUGUUAUGAUGCUAUUAAAGCCUAUAUAUGAUAUGUAUAUAUAGAUUAUCACAACCAUGACAUAUUUACUUGGCUAUAUACAUAAUUUUCUUUCUAAAAUAAAAAUAAAAGGAAAGGAAAUGAUUAAUUCCAUAAAAAAAAAAAAAAAAGAAAGAAGUUUGUUUUCACAAGGUAAAAUGAGAAAUUCUAUUUCUUUUUUACUAGAUCAACCAUAAACCAAUUCCAGUUUUAUUAGGGAGUAUUUAGUACAACUAUAAUUCUAAGCUUCAUGUCACUCAUUUAAAGAGACAUGUCAGACCCAAAGCAUCCUAUUUUAAGUAAAUGAGAGGACAUUUUCUCAUUCCAAAACUAUAAAAUUAAAUUCUUGAUUAAAUCAGACAUUGUAGUAUACUAAGCCAUCUAAUUAUUUAUGAGGCUUAUCUAAAAGAUAGGCAAUAUAACUAGAAAAACAUUUCAAAAGCCACACAUGAGUUACUGACCUGACAGCUUGAUGUAGCUCAUUUGAUGUAAACCCUCGGCCCAUAAUUCGUUAGCCAAGUUAUAUAAGGAAAUAUACAAUUUAAAAUGAUAAAUUAGAAAAAUAAAUUAUUAAAAGUAGGAUGAAAAAUCCCCAGUGAAUUUUUAGAUCCUGAAUGGUGUGGAUGAAUAAAUCGGUAUGCAAAAUGGUAGCUCGAUCGUAAAUCGUGUAAAUUUUCCAAUGAGGUAAAAUAAUUAUUUAAAGAAAAAUAUUUGUGAAUUGGGUGAAAAUAUUUAGGACGAGGAUGAUGAUGACAUAGUGAAAUUCUUAAUAAAAUAAUGUAAGAUUUUAUGUGCAAAUAACAUUAACUGCUGGUAUAAGUUUUGCGUACAAUCACACAAUUUUUUUUUAACUGGAAUGGAAUGAAAUCCAAGGAAAAAUCUUAUUAUGAAUAUGGAUGAAAGUCUCCAAUAAAUGAUUUUAAUUUUUUUUUUAUGAUUUUAAUAAAUAAAACAAUAUGCAAAAGUACCAGUGGUCAGGUAAAAUACUAAAUAACAAAUGGACAAUUAAUAAAGGCAAAAUUGUAAAUAACACAAAAACUCCAGUUCCCCUUAUAUAUUAAGUUGUCAGCCACGAGAGAAGGAAUUUAAGCUCUCUUCCUCUCAUUUCUUGCAUUUUCACUCAAAUCUUCUUUAAAAUAAGGUUUUUAGGGGUGUUAUACGGGUGAUUAGUAGAGGAAACACUUUGGCACAAGUUUUGGAAGGGUUUAAAGAGAUAUAAAAUUGGUAGUUAGUGAGAAAAACAAGGAGUUUUGGGAAAGAAAAAGAACUAAAGGAGAACUUUGCAAAGAAAAGGGCAAAUUAGUUUCAGAUUUUCUUAGUAAAGUAACCUAUACUAUUUAAUUCUAGUUAUUUGAGUUGGAGUGUGUGGGGAAGAGAAAUUGUUAAUCUCUCACCUAGGGUUUAUAAGAGAAGUUUGGGGGAAAUGAAAAAUUACUUAUAAAUUGGUUAAGUUGUGUGAAAUAACAGAUAAAUAUAGUAAGAUAAGGAUAUAAAUCAAAAGAAAAGCCAUAGGAAUUUCCUAACCCGAUGGCCGACCAUGAUAAAGAAUGGGGAAAUGAAAGAAUUGAAUGGAAUUGUGUAUUUAUGUGUUAAUUUGAUGUAUAUUGUAUGAGAAUUAGGUUAUGGGGUAAAUGAUUAGUUAAGUAUAUGUGUAUUUAUGUGUUAAUUUGAUCUAUAAAUUUUUUUUGGGAAUAUGACUUUUAAAAUAUGAAAGUGAGGUAAAAGUGUUGGGAUUGUAUGAAUAAUUGUAAAUUUAGGUGGUUAUGGUAGGUAGUAUAGUAAGAAAGAUAGUAGAAUCAAGUUUGUAAAGGUUUUACUAAAAUCAAAAGAUGUUGUUAAGUUGACUAUAGGCUUGAUUUUGAAAAUUGAUUGAAUUAUAUGAGGUUAUAUAUUUAUUAAUUUAUUGUUAAUUUGGAUACUUAUGUUUUAGGAAAAGAGUUUUGUGCUACUAUACAUGUGUUGUAUGUAUGAAUGUGGGUUUGGUAAGGAUGUGGACUUUAAGCUAAAUACUUUAAUGAUGUUAUAUGUAACUAAGUAAAUGGAAAAGUUUUAAAACUUAUAGAUUAAAAAUCCUUAUUGUUGAAUACAUGUUGGUAUGAUAUAGAAUAGAAUGAAAGGGAUAUGUGUCAAUGAUAGAGAAUUAUGUGUGGGUAUGUAUUGUUAUUUUGUUAUGAUAUUAUGUUGGAGUAUCUAUUAAGGAAGCUUGAAAUUUGUUAGUGUUGUUUAAUAUUAAUAUGUAAGGUGAUAAAAUUUGAAAAUGGUCAAAAUGCUAGAUCACUUAAAUGGUUUUAAUAUCUUAUAUGAAAGUAAGGUUUGUUAAAUGGAUGAUAGUUUAAAAUAAUAGGAAAUUAUGUAUAUGAAUUGAAAAGACAUUGACUUAAAUGGUUGAAUUAAUUGAUACAAGGAAAUUAUAAGUAACUAAAGGUUUAAGUGAGAUUCUGAUAAACACUUGAACUAAUAAGAAAUGAAUUAAUUAGAAAUUUGGUGAUAAUUUGUUAAUAUGGAAAACUUGGAAAUUGUUAUGAUUACAAAAUAUAAAAUGAAAAUGUGUGGGCCAAAUACUAAAGGACAACCAUGGAAAUUUUUAUAUGUUCAAGUUAAAGAUAAUAAUUAUAAUAAUACAAAGUAAAGUGUAAUCAAAAUUAUAUUAACAUUGAUAUUGAUUUAUAUGAUGGAAUUUUUUACAUACUAAUUAUGGUCCAUCCUUUUAAAUUAGAAAGGACUUCAGGAGCUGGACCUUCAAUUAGAAGAGCUAAGUUGAUGGGAGGAGCAGGUAGGUGUUUAACCUUUUAAAUUUAUCAAAUUCUAGUCAAUAUUCCCAUAUUUGUUGUUUUAGUUAUCAAAUGUGCUCAUAAUGAAAAUAAUUGAAUUAUGUAAUUGAAACGGAAAACAUUAUGGUUGAAAUGACAAUAAAUAUUUUAACUGUUGAAAGAGGAAUAUAUGCUUUUCGUGUAAAAGAUUAUGGAAAUUGACUACUUAGUUGUUGUGUAACAAAACUAAGGUUAUGAAAGUACUUAGUUGACCAUGUAAACAGGGCUAAUGUGUCAAAAUACUUAGUAUUGUAGAUGCAAUUUAGUGUUGUAAUGUGUCAAAAUAUCCAUAGUAUAUAUUAAUCAUUCUCCAUCCAAUAUAGAAUACACUUUAGAGAGUUGAAAGGUAAGUUAUUGAGAUAUGAUAAUGAUCAACUUGUAAUGAGGAAAAAGAGAAAAAUAUUGGAGUUGUCAUUUAAAAUGAAAAGUUUAUUUGUAUGAAACAUGUUGAUAUAAAUGGGCAUGAAAAAUAUUUAAGUUGAAAAAAUAGUAUAAUAUGUCAUAAAUAGGCAUGAGAAAUAUUUAUAUUAAAAAAAUGUUUUAAUGCACCAUAAAUGGGCAUAAGAAGUAUUUAAGUUGAAAAAAAAAUUGGAACGUGUAAAAAAUAGACAUAAAAAAUAUUUAAGUUGAAGGGAAACAUUGGAAUAUACCAUAAAUGAGUCUAAAAAAUAUUCAAGAUAAAAAAUAUAUUUAAAGGAGCCAAAUGGGUGUAAAGUAUAUGAGAAUUGAAAAAAUAUAUGUAUAAGCUAGAAAUGGUACGGAAGCAUAUUGAGUUUGUAAAAUUGUAGAGAUAAGCCAUAAUGGAUAUAAUAGACGUUGAAAUUGAUAUUGAUUUGCCAAUAAUAAUAUAAUAGAUGUUGAGAUGAACUAACAAAACUAGUUGGUUAAAAUUGAAUAAAUGCAUGGGAAAGCUAAGAAGGCGUAUAGUUGUAAUUGAGAGAUGAAAUGUGGUAUGAAUAAUGGCAUGAACUAAUAUGUUUAUGAGAUGAAAUGGGGUAUAUAUUAAAUAUGAUGUGGAAAGGGAACAUGAUAUGAAAACAUUACAAUAAAUUCGAUGAACAUAAAAGAAGUGAGUGAAGAUUAUAUUGAGAUGAGUUAUGGAAUAGAUGGUAAUUCAAGGAGUAGUUGUAUGUAUGAUGACGAUAGUGUAAUGUAUUAAUGAAAAAAAGAGUUCAUCAAUGAUUGAUAUGAAAAUUUUUGAAAAGAACAUAGAUUGAUGUGUUUAUAAAAAGUUAAUGAUAUUUUUUUUUGUUUAUAUAUUCGUAAAAUGUAAUAACCAUAAUAGUUUAAAUACAUAUGGUAAUUUUUUUGAUCUCGUGUCUUAGAAGUACUUUUUUUUUUGAAGGUCUUAAUUAUCAUAAAAAGGUUAUUGUGCUACCUGCCCUUUCUUAUUGGAUAAGUCCUCAUAUUGUCUAAUGAUUAUAUUUUAAAAAAAUUUAUCCAUGCAAUUUAUAAGGUCUUGUAACCGCACAAAUGUGUAAGUAUAAAUUGUAUAUCAUUGUACUUGUGGAUAAAAUUAUUAGAGAAUGAGCUUGAAGAUGCUCUUAUGAUAUUAUAAAAAGAAAUUACUUCUAAAUUUCACGUGCAAGACAGUUAGAAAGAUAAUAACUGCAUAACAAAAUCUUGGGACGUUACAUUUGAUAUCUUUGUAUCCAAGAAUCAACAAAUUCAACCCCUUAUUUUUUAAUAAAACUUUGGUUUUUCUUUUUCAUCUCUGAUUUCUCAAUAAUUUCCACAAGCAUAAAUUCCAUUUUUAUAGGCCUAAAAACUCUUUCAUAAAAUAAUCCAUCUUUUUUUUUAUUACUUUUCUAAUGUAAAGUAUAGGGUUUUGGAACCUCUCCAACAAUAUUUCCAUUAGGUAGGAUUUUAUUAGUCUAACCAUUUAUUUGUUGAGAAGAAACUGAUAUAAUUUGGAGUUGAUCAAGAAAAAAAAUAAAUUCUAAUUCAUUCUUAUUAAACCUUUUUCGUAUUAAUCUAUAUGUUUUUUUCUUGAAUAUAUAGAAAUGUUUCAAUUCCAAAGCCAAAGAUUAUAAUUUUUGAACGAGCAAUUGAAAAGAUUCUCGAAUAUCCUCAGGUUUAGGUAUUGUUCAUCCAUUAAUUUUAGUAUCAAUCACUUCUCAAUGAGAUCUAAUAUGAUUAGAUUUACGAGUAAGAAUGACUUGUAAAUAUGAGAAAUGUCAAACCCCUCUAGAUCCUAAACAUUUAUUUCUUCUAUGUGUUGUCCCUUUUGUUUGUCCUUUCCUUUAAGAAGUUAUGUAAUAUGGGCAAAAUACCCAUUACAACAUCCAUGUAUUUUAUCAGUAACUUGAUGAAUUAAUUUUAAGAUAUUAGACUUUUCUAUUCUAAUAGGCUGCUUAAAAGGAUCUCGCAUUCUUCCAUCAAAUAUUCUCUUUUUUUUUCAGGCAUUCAAGUUCAAAUACCCAGAGAUUUGUUGUUUACUUACCUGCUUCAUAAAAUUAAGAAAAAAUUAGCUUUCUCGAAGUCUAUUAUUCAUAUCUCUCAUCAAAAAGUGUUACACGAUAAUGUAUAUAUAACAAACUUUUCGCUAACCCAAGUAAAUAUUGAAAUAUUCUUCUCAUACAUUCACGAAGGAAAUCCUAAUAGGUUGAAGACCUUAUCAAUAGAUCUUUGAUUUUACAAAUAAGACAUAUCUUGGUAGUUUUAGACUGGUUUCUUUUGAAGUUGAUACCUAAAUUGUACAAAUAGAAUAAGAUAUUUACAUAGAAUGUUAAUGAGAUUUCUUUAUGAUCGAUGAUCAUAGAAAUGAAUGAAAAUUUGGAAUCUUUAUCAACUUGUUCUUGUUUCCCUUAGAAACAAACAUGCAUUAACAUUUGCAUAAAGUAUGUGUCCGGAUAGCCAAAACGCUCUUAAUCUUUCAAUUAAAAAACAAUGUUGAUGAAGGCAUGUUGGUACACUAUUUCACGGUGAGGAUUUUAACUUCCAAUGCAUUUUCCAUUUAUCACCCAUAACAUAACUUUGCCUAUUUUUUAUUUUUUUUUCUAGAUAGAUGAAUCAAAUGAUAUUUUUAUUCCAAAUUUUACCUCUUUUUCUCUCAUUGAAUCAAACUUUUCCUAUUAGUAUCAUUGAUACAAGUUAGAUCCUAGAAGUGGAAAUAUAUAAGAUAACAUUUUUCAUCAAAAGAAAUGAUAUGCUUCAAAUACAACACUUAAAAGAAUUAACUAAAUUUGUUCGAUGUAAAGGCAAUCAAGAAAGUCGGAUAAGUGGAGAUAUAACCUAUAAAAAUAUGGGCUAAUAAAACCAAGCUUGAUUGCACAAUGAAAAGAGCUACUCGUUUAUCUCUCCAUCGAAUCAAAUUAGCCAAAAAAUAUGUGUUCAUAAGCCCAUGCAAAAGUUUCAAUCAAAUCCUACCAAUAUAUGUGUUAAGAAAUUAAAACAUAAAUCUAGUUUUUCAAAGAUGUCUAAAUAUGAAUCAAUAACUAUUCAUCCUAAAGUGGUUUUACACAUUGAUAAGUUGUGAAAAGUUUAACCAUAAAUAAUCUCUUAACUAUCCCAUCAAAUAAGUAGAAGAUUCAUUAAAUUGUGAAAUGUUACCUUACCAUAGUAUUAUGUGCUUCCAAUGACAAGAAAGUAACUCAUCCAAUGGUAUUUAACUUUUAGAAAACCACCAAAUAAAAUGUGUCUCGAGCUAGAAUAUCAUAAGUAUUGACUCGUCCUAGACCAUGACAAAGAAAACUAUAACUAAAAACCUUUUUAUUUAACAUUAACUUAGAACCACACACAUCUAAAACAUCUUUUACUAAAAUCAAUGUAGUUGUAUGUAAACUUAGAGCAAUAACAUGAUAAACCAAGAAUUCUCCACAAUCUAUUAUUAAGAAUAAUGAAUUACUAUUUUUUUAUUAAUAACAUUUAACUAGCAGGACAUAAAGGUUGGACUAUUCCUUGAAGAUAAAAGUACUUUGAAUUCAUUUGAAGUUUUUCCAUAAGCUGAUUGUAUCCAUUAGGUAAAUGAGUUCAAUCAAGAUUUGUUUCUUCAAAGUAUCGAAAACAAGAAUGACAUCAUUAUAACACCCCAAAGUAUGGAAUGUUUUAAAAAAAAGAAAGAAAGAGGCCAAGCCAAGUUAAAUAGGAUAUGAUAUCUUUUUUAAGCAUUUUUGCUAAUACAUUAUCUUUAUUAUGUUCUAUUUAAUAAGAAACUUAGUUCUAUGAGCAAAAGCUCCUAUUAUAAUGAAUCAUAUGAAGUAUUGAUGAUGAUUAUAUAAUGCAACUUAAGUAGUCUUGUUUUAUAAAUGCAUAAGCAAGUGUGUUAGGCAACUAAAGAAAUAAUAACCUCUUAAAAAGCUAGAGAAAAGCUUCAUUAAAAAUAAAGUGAAUUAUUGAUUAUGUUAUAAAGACCUUUAUAUCCACUUUCUAGUUUUUAUUAUUUUGCUUCAAAGGAAAAUAUGAAAAAAUGUUUACUAGUAAAAACUAAUUUUUAUAAAAGCAGAUAAAAGAUUUAUUUUUCUAACAUGUUUGGCCUUCGAUUUUAACAACCAACUAUUUAACUUCAACUUUUAAGAGUGAAAAGUUAUUUUUAUAAAAGCUUAAAGGUAUAUUAGAUUCUACUUAAAAAAACAUGAGACAUAACUAUUAUUUUUUAGAUGAAAUACUACUUAUUUUAUUUGAAAGAAAAAAAAUGACUUUAAAUUGUGAAAGUUAACUAUCUUCUAUCAUUUUUAUUUUAUACAUAGUAAUUAGCUAAUAUUUAACUAUAUAGUUAAUAACCUUAAUUAUUUUAAAAUUAAAUAAAUUUAAUCAUUUUAUUUUCAAUAUAUUAGAUUUCUUAUAUGGAAAUUAAUUAAAUUAUUAGUAGUUCUAUUUACUAAAAAAAUAUGUAAUGUUUUUAUUAUUGUUUCUUUUUCACUUAUAUCUUUUGCGUUAUUUGGGUGUUAAAAAAAUAAUUCAUUUCUUAAUAAAUUCAUUUAGUUUUUUCUUAAAAAAAUAUUUAAUUUAAGUGAUGGUUUAAUUAUUUACCCUUUCUUUUGAUUUUUAUAUUAGCCUUUUAUAUUUAUUUUUUUUAAUUUUAGCUUUCAACAUUUAAUUAAUUUUAAAUUGAGUUUCAUAAUUUAUUUAUCAUGAGAUUAUCAUAGUUUCAAACAAACAUCAUGAUAUUUGAUUGUUGCUCAGUUUUCUAAUUAAAUACAAAACAAUUUUAAAAAAUAGUCUUUAAACUCGAUGGAGUCCAUGAGCUGGGUUAUUCGUUUGGUAGAUUAAAUAGUAAAGUCCGGGUCAAUUCAAUAUGUCGUCAUACCAAUGUUAAAAAAUAUAUAAUUUAGAAACUAUUAUUAAAGUCAAAUUAUAUUUUAUCUAAAUUGUUUUUGGACCUGUCAAAUUAAUUGAUCAUAUUAAAAUAAUUUUUAUAUAAUUUAAUUUAAAAAUUCAAACUAGAAAAGAAUUUGAGUCAGAAGAAUUUUAACUGAUACCAAAAAGUCGAUAAUAAGUAAUAUACUUUUAUUUGAAUUACAAAAACAACACCUUAAAAGUAAAUUGUCAACGAAGUUGCGGACACAAUGAUUUUUUUCAUAAUACAAGCAUCACAGAUCUCCAAAUAUAUUACUUUAGUGUGGUUUUAAGAAUGCAUUUGUGGGUGUUUUUUUCAAAAUGUUUUUAAGAUAGAGGGACUCUCUCUCUCUCUAGAGAUAGUCUUCAUUAGGCCAUUAUUUGGGUUGUUAAAAAUUCAAGUUAGCAAUAAUAUCAUUAAGUUCCAUAACUUUCUUUGGUCCCGCAAACAUGGGAUAUUCUUCCAAUAUGACUCGACUGCUAAAGACAUUUGAAAUUGGUGAUGAUUUGUAGUUGGAGGGACUCAAUUGAUAAAAUAUCAACCAAAAUGAGGAUCUAAUUGAAAAGGCAUUAAUUGUUUGUAAUUUUGUUAAAUAGCUCUCUCCAUUAUUAAUUGGCAUCACUUGAACUUAUAUUAUAGAGAGUAAAGUAACAAUCACAUAGAUAUUAGAAGGAUAUUAUUUGAUAAUGUGGAUAAAAAACACCAAAAAAUAGCUUAAACAAAACUAUUUAGGAGAUUGAAUCUGAUUACUUUCUUGAGAUGAUACGUGUUAUCCAUAGAAAUUUUGAUGCAACAGAUCAAGAAAACAUCGCACAUUGUCUCAAGUAUAUACAAAGCUUGGCCACCUUGCCUAGUGUCAUCAGUUUGCACUACUUGUAGGACUUGAAACUAUAGAAUAAAUAGCAUCACUCUUGCUCAAAUGGAACAAUAAAAUAAAAUUGUGUGUUAUGGUUUUAUUUUAUUGGAAGAAAAAUACAAAAUUGUAAAAAACAACUUUUUGUUAUAUAAGAAUUUUAUAGGUAACACACACACACACACAUACACAAGAAAUAGAGUACACAAAAUUAAAUUAUAAACCAUUAAAGAUUUAAUAAUCAUUUUAAAAAAUUGUUAUGCAUAUAAUGUUUUAUAACUUACAAUUAAAAGUAUAUAAUAUUUUGUAACAUGCAAUUAAAAACAAUUAAAAGUCAUAUAAAGUAUGGUAAAUGCAUGCAAUUAAAAGACAAUUAAAAGGCAUAUAAAGUGUUGGAAAUGCAUGCAAUUAAAAAAGCAAUUAAUUUCCUAUAACAACUCCUAAAUUUUUUUUAUUUUUUUACAAAAAUAUUCUAAAAUGAUCUUAUGAGAAGUGGAACAAUGAUAAAGAAUAAGUGUUUUUCCUUAUACACUUAUUUGUUAUUGUGCCUUAUUAUGUCACUGGUGGAAAUACUAGUACUCAUGAGUGAUUGAUAAGAAGAAUUAGUAUUCACUGAGACAAGUUUGUAGGAGAUAGUCAUUGAUAUGAAAAGUAGUAUCAUACUGAUAGUUCAUGAGUGAGUAAAAAAGAAAGCACGACAUUGUACUAACUUUCUUAGAGGUCAUGACUCUACAUUGUAGCAUAUUUAGUCGCUUGAUUUCUUGAAAAUUCUUAUUACAAGAUUCAGUCCUGAGGAGGAUGAGGCCUAGAGCAUAAUGGGUUUUGCUAUCUGUUUGGGCUACUAGCCUAUACAGAAGCAGUAUUGGAGGUAUUGUCUAUUUCAACUGACUACCUAAAUUGACAAUAUUUUUUAUUUUGUUGUCUGUUUAGGAUACCAACCUUAACAUAUAGAUUUGGUAUCGUCCAUUUAGGCUGAUAACCCAAACAAACAAUUAUUUAAAAAAAAAACAAAUAUCAUUAUUUCCCGUAGUCCUUGAAACAUUUUGUGUCUGAAAGACUUAACCAGUAGAAGGAGAGAAAGAAAACAUAUAUGCAUGUCAUUUUACUUUUAUAUUGCUUUUGUUAACCAGAGUUUGAUUGACUUUUUUGUUUCUCCUAGACAUUUUCACUUGGAGAGAUGAAUGUGAAACACUUAAUGAUAACCUGGAGAAUCUAUAUUUGGUGGGGCAAAGUUCAUUCCCAGGAGCUUGUAUAAUUAUUGAUUUUAUCUCCCGUCAAGUGUUUUUUAUGAGAAAUAUUCAAUCAAAAUUUAAAGAGAGGUUGAUGAAAAUAGCCACACAUGUGGCUAGGACUCACUAAAGCUGUAGUUUUUUUUUUUUACCAUUGAAUCUCACACGGGAGCAUCCAAUUUGAGAAAGCUCUUCAUAACGGGAACAACUCUUUUAUAGAGUUGGAGCUUGAGAGUUAUCAUGCCUAAUUGCUUAGACAUCAUUUUGUCUUAAUCAUUUAGGAAAGUAGAGUUGUCUUUAUGCACUUAGUGGUUUAUGUAAUAUAGUUAGGUGUUGUGUCACCUGUUAAAGGAGCAAAAGAGAGUGAAGCUAUUGUUGUAUAACUAGAACAACAUUGUUUAUAACACUUUUACUUGAUUGGUGAUGUAAAAACCCAUUAAAUUAUAAUAUGAGUAAAAUAAAUAAAGUAUUGAAUAAAUUAAAUAAAAAGAUUUUAAGUAUUGUAAUUGGAUACAAUAGAAUAAAAUAUAAGAUGUUAUGGUGUGAAUUAAGUAAAAGAAGAGUUGAGUGACAAAAAUAGAAAUAAGAAGAAAUGAGGGCCAAUGUGUAAAUUGGAAAAAAGUUAGACUAUAAAUGCUUCAUCUUUCCUCUUUUAGCCGUGAGCUUGAAACAAAGAGAGGGGGAAGAAUUGUGUGAUUUUCUACUUAAAUGCUCAUUGAUUUCACUAAUUAAAGUGAGUAAUUAGAGUGAUUAACUUAAUUAAACAUCAAGAGGGGGUUGAUUUUAAGGUGGUGAGUGCAUUGAAGGAAGGAUUUCAAGCUAGGGUUUGAAGAGGGAGAAGAAGAAAACUUGUUUUUUCUUGCAUUCUUUCCUUAAAUCCUUAUCAAAGUGAGGUAAAUAACAUGUUCCAAAUGAUUAAUUCCUUUAAUUUUAUGUUUGAUGAAGGAUUAUGCAAAAUGAUGAUUAUGUGAAGUUGUCGAUUUAUGUUAUAAUUUAUAGGAAUAAUGCAAAUUAUGUUUGAACCAUGUUAGAAAGCAUGAAUUAUGAUUGGGUAAGUGUUUAAUUUUAAAUAAAAGAAACAAAAAUUAAUUUUCCCCAUUUUAAUUGAAUAUUUGGCCAAGAGAGGAAUAAUUUAGGGGAUUUGAGGUUUAAUACAAUUGUUUGGAAAAUAUGGGAAGAUGAAAGUUUAUAAGUGUUAUUAUAUGAAUGGAGUAAGAAUUUUUCAAGGAGAAAAAAAAUAUUCACUUCCUUCCCUAGGUUGUUUUUGGCUAAAUGGAGAAGAAAAAAAUUAGAGAAUGGAGUUUAAAUGAUAUUAUUGAGGAGUUUUUGGCUAAAUGGAGAAGAAAAAUUAGAGAAUGGAGUUUAAAUGAUAUUAUUGAGGAGUUUUUGGCUAAAUGGAGAAGAAAAAUUAGACAAUUGAUGUUGAUAGGUUAAAUUGAAUAGAGAUUUUUGUGGGAAAAAAUAAUAAUAAGUAAAUGUUUCACAAAGGGGGGGUUUUAUCCUCCUUGAAUUAAAAAUCAAUUAAACUUAAUUAAGGGUAUUGGAUUUAAUCAAAGAAUAUGUCAUGGGUAUUAGAAUUUUACCGGUUCAAAUGAAUGAACAAUGACAAAGUAAUUUUUGUUGGUGCAGAGGAGGCCGCAGGACCUAAUCAGCAACAAGGGACCUCUUCACGCGCACAGACACCAGGUAGGUGUUCAACACCUUGGAGUAAUUAAUUAGUUUAUAUUUUUUAUUGUACAAGGAAUUUUAUAGAUUAUAAAUAUUAGUGCUGGUUACUGGAAAUAAUGCCCUGGUUAAUGGGCAAGCCUUGAAAAAUUAUUUCCUGGUUACUGGAAAUAAUGCCCUGGUGAAUGGGCAGGCCUUGAAAAAUUAUUUCCUGGUUACUGGAAAUAAUACCCUGGUGAAUGGGUCCUGGUUACUGGAAAUAAUGCCUGGUGAAUGGGCAGGCCUUGAAAAUUAUUUCCUGGUUACUGGAAAUAAUACCCUGGUGAAUGGGUAGUUCUUACUGGAAAUAAUGCCCUGGUGAAUGGGCGAGCCUUGAAGAUCAUUUCCUGAUUAUUGAAAUUUAUGCCUGGUAGAAUGACCAUGUUAAGAAAAUUAAUUUUUCAAAUUAAUGGGAUAAUCACUCGAUGUAAAAUAAAUCAUAAAACUUUGAAGUUAAAUAUGCUGGGUUGUGGGAGACACUCUUGAUAUUUUUUAUUUUAGUAGAUUUAUCCCUGUCUAGAAGAGAAUUUAUGAAAUUAGAAAUUUCAAAAAGAAAAUAAGACAAUUAAUUCUAUGAUAUGAAAAUCACCUUAAUGUAUAUAAAUAAUUAGUCCUUAAUCAGUUACUUAUUGAAAUGUGCAAUUGUUUUAAUCAUGUUUAAUGCAAUUAUGUUUUUAGGUACAUCGCACCCUCGAUCUGGAAAGUAGAUGCUCGGAUAAAUAAUUUUGUUAUGUGAUUAUGUACUUGGAAGAACUAAUAUUUUGUUGUAAUAUGCUUCCAUAUCUAAAAUUGUAAUGUUUAACUUAUUAUCUUGUGUAUGAUGUAAUUUGUAAGGUUAUUAUUAUUAAGUUGAAUUAUGGUUGGUUGUAUAUAUAUAUAUAUAAUAAUAUAAAAGACGAUGCAUGUUAAGAAUUUAUUAGUUUUAUUGUAGUGUUCUAUAGAAAAUAGAAUUGAGAUAUCGAAAUAUGCUUGAGUUUUUUGAUGUCCAAAUGAUGGGACGAAUAUUGUGAUUGAUGUUACAGGUUGAGAAAUGAUUGAGUCGAUAACUUGGUACCUAAAGAAUACAAAGGAAACUCUGCCGAAAUUUCGAGAAAAUAUAUAUAUAUAUAUAUAAAAAAAAUGGUAACUACGAAUAUAUAUAAUAUAUUUUUUGAGUUUACGACUUGAGACUGUUACAGGUGACUUGCUGGAGAUAUAAAGGAGUUGAAGUACCUACGGUAAGGAGGUCAGAUACUCUCUUGUAUCUUGAAGUUUUUAAGUUAUUAGCUAUGGAAAUAACUUUUAGUGAUGAGAUGUGAAACAAUAAUGAACUACCUUUUAUUUCGCCUCCCACGUAGAACAUCAUUGUUGAAGUUAGCAAAAAAAAAAAAAAAAAUGAAUAGGAUUUGGCCUUUCCACUUAUGCUUGAAGGGCUAAUGGGGUGACUGAAUUUGGCCACGAUGGGUUGAUGGAUAACUUUACUUUACCCUUUUAUGUGUUUUUAAAAGAGAUUCUCUAAUACUUAAAUUAUUAAAUAUAUAUAUAUAUAAAGAAAUACUAUAUAGGAAAAUUAAAAAAAGUGAUGAACAUAAAAGCGUAUGUUAUGAUUGUUAUUGGUGGUCUAUGACCCUUGUAAAUUCAAUUAUUUAUCAUGUGACUUGAUGUAUUUAUACACUUCUUUCACUUGAGUUUACUUUAUGAAAAAGGAAUUAAUAAGCUAAAUAGAGUAACAAUGGACAAUAAUUAUUUUUCUUGUAUGCUUGUUGGCUUUUACGUGGUGCUGCGUUAUUAUAGGAAAAGUUGUGGUUGCGACAUAUUAGUGUUCACUGAGUAGACAUAGAUAUGUGAUGAUAUUUUCACUAUUUAGAGCUUGGCUGGCUCAAUUUAUUUUUAUUUUUUUGGCUAAGAAAGACUUGAACAUGGAGCAUAAUUUCUCUAUUAUACAUAAAAAAAAUAUAUAUAUCAUUUUCUAAUUUCAAAACAAUUACUCCCUUCACGUACAUACUUGGCACUGUGAUCAGAUUACAGCUCUCUCUGAUCUCAAUUAUUGCCAACUUUGAACAAUCAGCAUUAAAAAUUAGUAUGUGAUCAUCUUUUAACUCCAAUGACAAAUUUAUUAUUUUCAGUUUAAUAUGCCAAGCAAAUUUUUUCAGCUUCAUUUUUUGGAAACAUAAUUAAACUCAACACAUCAAUUAAUUUUAAAUUAAAACUACUACUUUGUAGGCUAGAAAUUCUUGCUAAUCAUGAAAUUUUAUCCCAAAUUAAUAAUUUUUAGCUAGAAUAAAAAUUAAGUCUAUAAAUUUUUAACUUGUAUCAAAAAGUUGAUAAUAAAUAACAUAGUUUUAUUUGAAUUACAGAAACAACACCUUAAGAGUAAAUUUCCAACGAAAUUAUAGACACAAUGACUUCGUCACAAUACAAGCAUCACAUAGCUCCAAAUAUAUUAUUUUAGUGUGGUUUUAACAAUACAUCUGUGGGUGCAUUUUUUUUUAAUAGAAAACCACUAAAUAAUAGAACACCCAACAAACACAAAAUCAAAAACAUACUUCCUCCAAGUGCGGAUAUCAUCACAUAGAGUACAUAUGAGCUGGAAGUCGGGGUUCGAGUUCCGCAACAAGAGGGAUUUGCUUAGGAGUGGAAAGGCCAAAAAUCUCCUGCAUGUUCAACUCCUCCGUUGUCAUAUCACCAGGCAACUUCCAUUUAAACCCGUGCAGAAGAUUUGCCACACUUGCUUGAAUCACCUUCAGUCCUAGACUGUACCCAACACACAUCCUCCUCCCUGCUCCGAACGGCAGCAGCUCAAAAUUGUGACCCUUGACAUCAAUGGCCUUGCCGAUGAACCUCUCCGGGCAAAAUUCGUGUGGCUUCUCCCAUAUGCUUGCAUCCCUUCCAAUGGUCCAUACAUUUACCAUGACUCGG
rnacentral:lncRNA from 1 species